AUGUUCGCCAUUUGGAACUUUGAUGGGGAAGAUGUGUAUAGGAAAAUUGUUGAUGCUACAAAUAAUUUCAGUGACACUCAUUGCAUUGGAUCUGGAGGAAGUGGAUAUGUGUACAAAGCUCAAUUAUCAACAGGUGAAUUAUUUGCAGUGAAGAAGAUCCAUAUGGUGGAUGAUGAUGAUCAAUUUAACCGUGAAAUACAUGCUUUGAUGCAUAUUAGACAUCGCAACAUUGUGAAGUUAUUUGGUUACUGCUCCGCAACUCAGGGAAGAUUCCUUGUGUAUGAAUACUUGGACAGAGGAAGCUUAUCAGCAUAUUUGAAGCAUAAGGAAACUGCUCUUGAAUUGGAUUGGACAAGGAGGCUAAAUAUUGCUCGGGAUGUUGCUCUUGCUUUGGCUUACAUGCAUCACGACUGCUUUGCGCCAAUAGUUCACAGAGAUAUAACAAGAAACAACAUUUUGCUUGAUCUGGAAUUUAAAGCCCACAUCUCGGAUUUUGGUCUAGCGAAAGUUAGAUGUGGAUGCGUCAAACUGCACAAGUCUUGCCGGCACAAAAGGAUAUCUUGCCCCAGAGCUUGCAUACACAACAAGGGUGACAGAGAAGUGUGA
rnacentral:rRNA from 1 species